GAUGAACGCUAGCGGCAGGCCUAAUACAUGCAAGUCGAACGGUGUUUUCGGACAUAGUGGCGUACGGGUGCGUAACACGUAUGCAACCUACCUUACAUUGGGGGAUAGCCUUUCGAAUGGGAGAUUAAUACCGCAUAAGACAGUAGCUGGGCAUCCAGCAGCUGUUAAAGAUUUAUCGAUGUAUGCUGGGCAUGCGUCCAAUUAGCUAGUUGGUGAGGUAACGGCUCACCAAGGAGAUGAGUAGUAGGGUAACUGAGAGGUCAAUCCCCCACCCGGGCCCUGAUAUACGGGCCAGACUCCUACGGGAGGCAGCAGUAGGGAAUAUUGGGGAAUGGACGCAAGUCUGACCCAGCCAUGCCGCGUGCAGGAUGAAGGCGUUAUGCGUUGUAAACUGCUUUUAUACAGGAAGAAACGACUCUUGCGAGAGGCAUUGACGGUACUGUAUGAAUAAGCACCGGCUAACUCCGUGCCAGCCGCCGCCGUAAAAC
rnacentral:rRNA from 1 species